UUGUUAUGUAACUUCAACCAAUACACGUCACCUACUGAGUAAAGGAUAUUGUUCAUUCUGAGCAAUUACUCAAAUUGUUUCACAGUGUGUUCUAUUUAUUUGUAUGAGCAUGGUUAAUAUGCAAACUGGAUCAUCCCUUGGAAACCUGAAAGUGAAUUUUGUGAUAAUACAAGGAAUCCUAGGGUAAUCAUACCAGAUGUCUUCUGCAUGCCUUAAUUUACAAAUGCCAACAAUAAAAAGGAGGAAGAAGGAGCCAGGAAGAUUGGAUGCAGUAGCCACCAAGCUGUUAACAGUAAUAUUCUGUCCACAAAAUUCAAGUAAACAGAAAUGGAGAAGAUCAAGUGUUCCUCUAAGCUUCACACAGAAGGUUCUCUAUAAAUAUUUAUUUCAUGAAUAAAUCAAAGCCAGAUGUUAUAAGCUAACUUGAACAUUGUGAGACUUGAUUUCAUUUAUAUACUGUUUUCUGUAGGUGGUGUCUUUGUCUUGUCUGUUUUGUGUUGGUAUAACAAAAUACCUGAUGCUGAAUAAUUUGUGAAGAAAAGAGGUUUGUUUAGCUUGUGAUUCUGGUGUCUGGAAAGUCCAAAAGCAUGGCACCAGCAUCUGCU
rnacentral:lncRNA from 1 species